UUUUCAACCAUGGCGAACAACCGACUUUUUCACUCCGUCUGAGGGUCUUCUUGGUCAACGUGGUGCAAAAAGGCUGCGUUAGCAACAGAUUGAGAUUCCUGUAUUUGGCAACCUUCUUCCGAGAAACAUUAUUAUCAUUUUGGUCCAAAUCACACUGCUGGUUGGUGUCAGUGUCGUCUGUAGGUGAGCUGAUGACAGCAAUCCCCCUCCCGACCUCUCCUGACUAUAGAGAAGAGGGGACAGCCUGCGUGGUCUCCGUGCUGGUGAAGAAGCUUGCCAGCACCCCAGGCCCUCUGUGCACACUUUCUUUUGUUUUUAAUGUUUAUUUAUUUUUGAGAGAGACAGAACAUGAGCGGAGGAGGGGCAGAGAGAGAGAGGGAGACACAGAAUCGGAAGCAGGCUCCAGGCCCCGAGCUGGCAGCACAGAGCCCGACGUGGGACUCAAACUCACAGACCGCGAGAUAGUGACCUGAGCCGAAGUCGGAUGCCUCACCGACCAAGCCCCCCAGGUACCCCUCUGCGAGCACUUCCGAAGCGUUGCUGAACCGCUUUCCCAGGUGAACAGGAUAAUUGGCCCACUUUCCCCUUGGCACCUGGGUGAACUUGGUUAUACACCCUACAGAAACGCUUCCCUGACUGUCCUGUCCUCACCGGGGGACUUCCUAGCAGACCAUGUGGCACUCAUAGGUGCACGCAGCAGGAGCAGGUCGGCAUAAGAGCCUGUCACGGUCCCUCUGAUGCCACAUUCUACACCUGGAGAUCACAUGGUGUCACUGAGGUCAUCCCAGGGCAGGAACGGCGGAGAGAACAUUUCUAAGUCCCGGGUCACCGCUGGCUCCACUCUACACACUGAGCCAAAAAGCUAUGGUCACAAUGUGUCUAGAUUCGGGUAGAGAUGACAGUGGGCUCCUGGGGCGGGGAAGGGGACGGGGAGCUGAGCCCCAGAGCCAAAAAUAGGCCUGCUUUUCUGAUGCAACUGGAAACUCUUCGGUCACUCAGAUUAUGUUCCUAGUAUGUAUCUUCUCAUUACCUGCCUCCACUGCUGACUUGUUUUGGUGAGGACAAAUUCAGAAGGCCAAAACUCCGCAGGAAACAUCGCGAGCCAGAGAAGGAUACACCGUGUGCCGUGUUAAUGGCGUUUAGCGCCAUCUUCCCUGGUAUCAUCACGGAGCACAGACGGCUAUUAUCAUCGUGUUUCCAUUUUCCUACAAGACAUAGUUUUGGUAAGAGAAAACAGGCCAACAGUGUAUUUAGUAAGCAAUAAAAAUACAUUCUUAAGGAC